AGAGUUUGAUCCUGGCUCAGGAUGAACGCUAGCGGCAGGCCUAAUACAUGCAAGUCGGACGGGAUCCAUCGGAGAGCUUGCUCGAGGGUGGUGAGAGUGGCGCACGGGUGUGUAACGCGUGAGCAACCUACCUCUAUCAGGGGGAUAGCCUCUCGAAAGAGAGAUUAACACCGCAUAAUAUAUCUGACCGGCAUCGGUUAGUUAUUAAAUAUUUAUAGGAUAGAGAUGGGCUCGCGUGACAUUAGCUAGUUGGUAGGGUAACGGCUUACCAAGGCGACGAUGUCUAGGGGCUCUGAGGGGAGAAUCCCCCACACUGGUACUGAGACACGGACCAGACUCCUACGGGAGGCAGCAGUAAGGAAUAAUGGUCAAUGGGCGGUAGCCUGAACCAGCCAUGCCGCGUGCAGGAUGACUGCCCUAUGGGUUGUAAACUGCUUUUGUCCAGGAAUAAACCUUUCUACGUGUAGGAAGCUGAAUGUACUGGAAGAAUAAGGAUCGGCUAACUCCGUGCCAGCAGCCGCGGUAAUACGGAGGAUCCGAGCGUUAUCCGGAUUUAUUGGGUUUAAAGGGUGCGUAGGCGGCCUAUUAAGUCAGGGGUGAAAUACGGUGGCUCAACCAUCGCAGUGCCUUUGAUACUGAUGGGCUUGAAUCCAUUUGAAGUGGGCGGAAUAAGACAAGUAGCGGUGAAAUGCAUAGAUAUG
rnacentral:rRNA from 1 species